CAGCAGCCGCGGGAAUACGGAGGGGGCUAGCGUUGUUCGGAAUUACUGGGCGUAAAGCGCACGUAGGCUGCUUUGUAAGUUAGAGGUGAAAGCCUGGUGCUCAACACCAGAACUGCCUUUAAGACUGCAGAGCUAGAACGUCGGAGAGGUGAGUGGAAUUCCGAGUGUAGAGGUGAAAUUCGUAGAUAUUCGGAAGAACACCAGUGGCGAAGGCGGCUCACUGGACGACUGUUGACGCUGAGGUGCGAAAGCGUGGGGAGCAAACAGGAUUAGAUACCCCGGUAGUCCCUGUCUCUUAUAC
rnacentral:rRNA from 1 species